CUAAAAUAUAAUAUUAGAACAAAUAUCGCAAACUAGCUGUGCACAAAGUAGCAAUCGGCUACAUAAAAAUUAUAAAUGGAUCUUCUCUCUCUAACUUGAAGGUUCUCAGGCUUUUUAGGAAGAUUCGAACCCAUAACUUUGUCACGCGGGUAAUCGGAAGGAGAUAGAGUUCUAUCAAGAGGUUAUCCCCGACUUCUCAACCAGAUUAAUCCUAUUACAUGUUUGUCAGAAGACUGUUCGAUAAAUAAGCUUUUUUAGUUCACAUAUACGGAUGGGGUUUAUAUCUGAUCUGCCAACUAUUGCUGAAUGAUGUAUUCAAUAAGUGAAAAUUGAGUAUAUAUGCUCUCAGAGCUAGAGUACCAGGACGGUUCUUUUCUGUCUACAGUCGACACUUUAUUUUUUUAUGUAUUACUCUAGGUGAAAUAAUAGAGCAGUAAUUAUUUGCAGACUAAUCUAGGGAAAAACUAAAAAGCAAUCACACUUACAUUUCUUUUCCUUUUCCCCAUAGAAUAGCUCCUAGUAGAAAAGAUGCCACAGUGACGAAUGUUAGACGUGCCAAAUUAUAUUUAGGACUCCUCCAAUAGGACAAGUUCUGCUUCCACAAGCAUGCUUUAAACUGUUCCCAUUCGUUUUGCAUAAAACGGGUUGGAAAUUGUAGUUCUUCUGAACCUCGUCCUGGAGAGUGCAAUUCUCUGGCCCGUACCUUGGUUUUCCUACAUAGUAAAGUAAUCUACUAAGCUCCUUAUAGCUGUAAGUAUGACUAUGGAUAUCCUUUGAAAGAUAUAAAUUGGAAAGUACUUGUUGUCGUAGUUAUUAAAUCAAUGGCGAAGAAAUCAUAGAUAUUAUCUCAUGUUUGCAACAACUUAUAAUGAUGGAAUGUAUAUAGUUUAGAUAUGAAGAUCUAAUAUAUGGUAUUUGGAGUUAUUCUGUACAUAGACCUCAUUACUCAUUAGUGAUGUGAAAGCGAAAUAACUCUGUCAACCUGCUGCAGACCAAUGCAUAAGAAUUCAUCGGAAAAGAGCUUCAGUAUAAAAAUAAUACUCACCAACAUAGGGAAGAUUCUUUAUAGAGUUUGCUUAAGUCGAUUUCAUGUCGUGCUUCUGCAGUUAAACUCGAAACCUCAAGCAUCCAGGUAGCAGGGUUGUAGUUCUCCUGAAUUUUUGGUACUCCAGGAAUGUUCUGCACAAGUAAGGGAACAUUUGAAAAAGUUUAGGACCUGUAUGGUUUUCUAUAUUUACGUGGGUCAGAAAUGAGCUUGACUUGAGAGGUUUUAGGGGUAAUUGUUAACUACUUUUUUCUUAGUUGUAAUAGAGAGAGUUGAAUAGUUUUGUACAUGAACCUAUACACCAGUUCCAAAUUUGUGAGAUUAUAAUGUUGAGGUUUUUAAGUUCUUCCAUUAAUGUAUAGCAGGAUAGGGAUGUUUAGCAGGGGAUAGGGAUAUAUGAGGCACUAUCUACUAAUUAGUAACUUUAUGAUAAGUACUAUUAUUUUAGUAUCUACCAUUCUACCUUUUAGUUUUCUUUUUAAUGCUGAAUUUAUUACCAAAACUCCUUGAAACUUUACAUGUUACAGUUUGGUUCAGGAUUCAAGUAAAUUUUUGCCAUGAAGAAUCAAAUGAUUAAAAAAGUAAGAUCUACUGUUUAUUAUGGUGAUGAUGAAAAUGUUCUGAAAAUGACAUGAGGAUUUUAAGGCUAUGAAUGACUAAUUGAAUGAAUCAAAUGACUAAAGUACGUUAAAAGAAGUUUUAGAUUCUCUGGUCAACUUCAAUAUAAUUAGUCCUUUACAAUGUUGUAAAAUUCAUGUUCUGAAAGUUAGUGAUGAGAUAUAGGGUCAUAUAUUCAGAUUUCAACUUCCAAUAUGUAUUGAACUUGAACAGUAUGUAGUUAAGGAGCAACCCUACAUAAUACUUGUAAAUUACAUCUGAAAAGCUAGGUGUUAAUGAUGAAAUAACUAAAUGGUCAUCUCUUACCUCAAAAUAUUCAAUUAAUUUACUCGAAUGCUGACCGAGUUCUCCAGAAUAUAUUAUCUGUCCUCCUCUCUUCAUUAGAAUUAGCUGCAGCAAACAUGAAACAGUUCCACUUUUAAGUGGUCCAGAAAAGAAAACUGAAGAUUGUCUCACAGCUCACUAGCUGGCAGUCUGCAGCAUUACAUUGUUGAGAAGUUGGCUCAUCCAUGAAUAAUAUGGAUGGAUUUGAAACAAGCUCUACUGCUAUGGUCAAUCGUUUUCUCUGUUCAAAUGAUAUCCCACUUACACCAGGAAUCCCAACUAUUGAAUCUUGAAUAUCUUCGAGUUCAAUCAUUUGAAGAACCUCAGUGACAAACUCCUGUAAGUAAAGUAGUCAUUAUAGUAUAUACAAGAUAAUUAUGCAUUGUGUAGACUUCAGAAACAAUAAACAUGUUCUGCAUGUGCAAAGAGCAUACUCUCGUUAAUGUUAAUAAUUUCUCUACUGGAAAUUAGCAUAUAUUUUAUAUAUAUAAUAAUUAUAUAUCUGCGUGUGUGUGUGUAUAGGCUCAUGAUCAAAUGGAAACCACUCUUAAAAUAAAAACUAGAAACCAGUUUCCCCACCACUAUUUAUAACUACGGGUAUCACUAAUUUAUACUGCACUAAUCACUGUUUUUAUACAGUAUGUAAACAUCGAUUUUUAUUAUCAAAAUUGAGAAAAUCUACUUAUCUACACUAUUGAUAAUCGAUUAUAGAUGAUCAAUUUCAUCCGUAGGAACUAGGAAGGUUCUUGACGGUAGGAAGCCGCAAGAGAAGUUGUAUGAUGAUGGUAAGUAGUCGUUAGUUUUGUAAGUUAUGAUGGAAAGUGUAUGUGACUAUUAAUGAUGAUAGACAAUGGUGGCAAGUCAUGGAAACGUCUGGUAAUGGUGGUAAGAGGUCCAUUAUUAUGAUUUGAGUGAAGAUGAUGGUCAUAUACGUUGCAUAUAUGUGUAUAUAUAUAUUUGUACUGUAAUCAGAUAUUCUUGCAUAAGUACUCUGGAUUUUUGGGUACCCUCCAAUCCUUAUGUCUCCUUCAGUGAUGCCACUACUUUUACGUCCAGAAAGAACAUCUAAAAGGGUCGUUUUUCCAGCUCCAGUAACACCCAUUAAAGCUGUAAGAAUUCCAGGCCUAAAUGAUCCUGUAAUGUCUUGAAGGAGCUGCAGCUUUUUUUCUGCGAAACCUUUCGCUCUCAUUUUCUGGAAUAGACAUUUAUGCAACUUGAUCAGUAUGAGUCAUAUCCAACCUAUUUGUAGUUUUAGAUGGAUACCUUUGGGGUAUCAACAUAAUAUUGCACGUUCUCAAAUGUCACUGCCAUGGGCUUGAAAGGAGCUUUGAUAGAAUCAGUGACAGAACCUCUAUCUUCUUCAGGUGGGUGCUAUAUUAGCAGUGCCCAAAACCUUGAGACUUUUGUCAAGUUUUCCAGCAAGUGCCAGCAGCAAAGUGGUUUUUCCACAUCCAGGAGGCCCAAGUAACAGCGUCAUCCUGCAUCAAGCUUUUGUUAAUUAUGAGCAUUUAUGUGCAUAUUUUUUAAGAUCAGGCUUUUUGUGUCCAUUUAAACUUCUGGGCUAUUUUGGCAUUUUAUUUUACAGCAUUGCAUUUUAGCACUAGUGUAAAAGAGAGAACAUGAAGACUAACUUUGAAGGCCUGAUGAUUCCACUCAAAUCUUGUAGAAUAUACAUCUUCAUUGCAUGAGAUUUGAUGCCUAUAUUUUUCCUUAUCCUCUGUUCAACAUUGGCAUUUCGUCCUUUAAACCAUGUUCAACUUGUAGAAUACCGUUUUCUUGUAGUGGGAACCUAAUACAUAAAUUUAGAGGAACAAAAAGUCUGCCUUAGUUGAGUGAAAAUGAGAACACUUACGCUGAAAACCUGUUUGAAGGUGUUCCAUAGUGUAGGCAGAGGAUUCUGUUGAUUAGCCUCAUAUUCUGCUUCUACACUUAAGUUCUUAUACCUAAUUUCUACUGUAGGUAUCUCUACACCCACUCUGUAGAGAAAACAAUAAUGAAAUUGGUUAGUAUUGCGUAGUCAUUAUUUCUCAUAUGUCAACUCUAACAUAAAUGAUGUGGUCUCUUGUUUUUAGAAGUUAUUAUAUACAGAUACCUGUCCAUUCUUUCCCUCUGUUUCAGCAACAACUUGUAGUUAUCUUCCUCGAUUUUCUUGAGAAGUUUGUCGAUGAAUGCACGCCUUUCUUGAGCAGAUUUAAGCAUGGCCAGUUUCUCCACAGCAGCCCAUUGCAACUCAUCUACAUCGUCAUCUUCACUGCGCUCUUUAAACCUGGUAAUCUCAUCAAGCUCUGUUCCUUCUGUCAUCGCUAGCAACUUGUGAGUUGUGAUGACCACCUAUGCUUUUUGA